AUCUUUGCGCUUGGGGCAAUGACGCAGCUAGUGAGGUUCUAACCGAGGCGCGUCUAUUGCUGGUUGAAAACUAUUUCCAAACCCCCUCUUCGGCCUGGGCUUGCCUGUGGCCGUCGAGAAUUUUUGAAAGGGCUUCUUCCAUAACUGGUAGAGGCC